GUAUCAGAUUCAACUAGGAGAAAAUCCCACCUCCAGGCUCCAUUAAUCCUUCCAAUGGAGUGGAAGUUUCUCUCACAGAGAAACUAGUAAGGGGAUCCAAUGGGAAAAGAACGUUCACACGGACUAGAAGACGAAACCAAUGGAAUGGAAAAUUGUCCUCGCGUUGGUAGAAGCAGCCAAUGAGAUGAAAAGAGCCCGCCUCCAAAGUGGCUGCAGAGGCAAUGGGGUGAAUCGUGCUCAGAGGCGCGCUCCAAUGGGGUAGCAGGGCUCGCCCGGCCGCCACUACCCCGCUUCCCCGCGCCCGGAGUCCCCACCCACGGCCGGCCGCGGAGCCGAGUGCUGACCCGGGUCCGAGGAGCUGCAGGUGUGACUGAUGGGAAUGAAGUGGCCAAGGCCCAGCAGGCAACUCCUGGGGGAGCAGCCCCAACCAUCUUCUCCCGGAUCCUGGACAAGAGCCUCCCAGCUGACAUUCUCUAUGAGGACCAGCAGUGUCUUGUGUUCCGUGAUGUGGCCCCUCAGGCUCCUGUGCACUUCCUGGUCAUUCCUAAGAAGCCCAUUCCUCGGAUUAGCCAGGCUGAAGAAGAAGACCAGCAGCUUCUAGGACACCUACUCCUUGUGGCCAAGCAGACAGCAAAGGCUGAGGGCCUGGGAGAUGGAUACCGACUUGUGAUCAACGAUGGGAAGCUGGGUGCACAAUCUGUGUAUCAUCUGCACAUUCAUGUACUUGGGGGCCGGCAGCUCCAGUGGCCUCCAGGUUGAACCUGCCAACUGAUUAAAGGACACCAGACUCUGGAUGCUUGGAUGGAAAGGGAAAAAUGGACCCUGUGAUGCUAAUAAAACUGUUCUCCCUUAA
rnacentral:lncRNA from 1 species